rnacentral:tRNA from 2 species
CAAGAAUUAGUUUAAAAAAUAUUAAUUUUGGAGAUUAAAGUUAAAGAAGUUCUUUAUUCUUGA